CUAUGCAAGAGACCAAAGAGCAGCAGGCGUGGUCCCUGUGUCACACGUCAGACGAGAUUAUUAUGAUUCACUCCCUCUGGGUCCAGUUACCAAGAGAGCGAGUCCAGAGCUGGGGAGAUCAAAGUCUUCAGUCGAAGCUGUAGAUUGUCCAAGCUGCAGCUCUUGGCCCCUUUCUCUUCCCCUGACUUUCUCCAGGAGAGAAUGCCCCUGUGAUCGCCCACUGGAGAACGGGUAGGAGCCAUCGCCCCGACAACCUGCCAGGGCCUGCUCUCUGGGCCGACCAUGAUGGAGCACUUUGGCUACGGGACCGAGUCUCAGUACAAUGAGUUCAGCAAUGGCAGCCCAGACUUCAUCAGAGCCAACAGCACGUCCAGGCCCAGCAGCAAAGCCAUUUACCGUAAGACCAGCGUCC